CAGUGGGGAAUUUUGGACAAUGGGGGCAACCCUGAUCCAGCCAUUCCGCGUGAGUGAAGAAGGCCUUCGGGUUGUAAAGCUCUUUCAGCUGGAACGAAACGGUACGCGCUAACAUCGUGUGCUAAUGACGGUACCAGCAGAAGAAGCACCGGCUAACUACGUGCCAGCAGCCGCGGUAAUACGUAGGGUGCGAGCGUUAAUCGGAAUUACUGGGCGUAAAGCGUGCGCAGGCGGAUUGUUAAGCAAGAUGUGAAAUCCCCGGGCUUAACCUGGGAAUGGCAUUUUGAACUGGCAGUCUAGAGUGCGUCAGAGGGGGGUGGAAUUCCACGUGUAGCAGUGAAAUGCGUAGAGAUGUGGAGGAACACCGAUGGCGAAGGCAGCCCCCUGGGAUGACACUGACGCUCAUGUACGAAAGCGUGGGUAGCAAACA
rnacentral:rRNA from 1 species